rnacentral:rRNA from 1 species
ACCCGCUGAAUUUAAGCAUAUCAGUAAGCGGAGGAAAAGAAACUAACUAGGAUUCCCCGAGUAGCGGCGAGCGAAAGGGAGAAGCCCAUCGCCGAAUCCCUCGUCCGUCGGGCGACGGGAAAUGUGGCGUUCGGACGGCGACACCGUCUCGGCUCGCGGCCGCGCGCGUUCCUCUGAAAGGGGCUACCCGUAGCGGGUGUUAGGCCUCUAUUCGCGGCUCGCGGUCGGGACUUGGCGUCGUCCCAGAGUCGCGUUGCUUGAUAAUGCAGCGCAAAUGCGGGUGGUAUGCUCCAUCCAAGGCUAAAUACCUAGUGCGAGACCGAUAGCGAACAAGUACCGUGAGGGAAAGUUGCAAAGAACUUUGAAAAGAGAGUUCAAGAGUACGUGAAACCGUGCGGAGGUAAACGGACGGAACUGGGCGAGUUCGGCGUCGUCGUUCAGCCGCGUCUUCGGGCGCGGUGCACUCGGCGGCGUCGGAGCGUGGCGACCGGCUUCCGCGUCGUCUCAAGCCCGGCGGCAAGGUACUGCGCGACCUCUGUCGCGCCGGUUAUAGGCCGCCGCGGCGUCGGCUGACGUGGGGGCUGAGGACUGCUAGCGGCGCCCUCUCGCUUCGGCGGGAGUCGGGUGCGUCGUUCCGUCGUUGGCGCGCGCAACGGAGGCUGCCUGGCAGACUUCGAGUCGCGUGUCUCGGCGGGCGGCGUACGCCGACGGGCGCCCAUGGUCGAGCCGCGUGGUUCCCGGCACUCCGACCGACCCGUCUUGAAACACGGACCAAGGAGUUGAGCUCGCGCGCGAGUCGAUGGGCUCUCGAACCCCAGUGGCGCAGCGAAAGCGAAACGGGCGUGAUCCGGCGUCUUAGGCGUCGGCGCAACGUCGGCCCGUCGUCGAAUCGAUGCGAACGGCGGCGGCGCAAGAGCGCGUGGGCUCAGACCCGAAAGGUGGUGAACUAUGCUUGAGCAGGGCGAAGCCAGAGGAAACUCUGGUGGA